GAUCCUGGCUCAGGAUGAACGCUAGCUACAGGCUUAACACAUGCAAGUCGAGGGGCAGCAUGUAUCUGGCUUGCCAGAUACGAUGGCGACCGGCGCACGGGUGAGUAACGCGUAUCCGACCUGCCGCACACUCCGGGAUAGCCUUGCGAAAGCAAGUUUAAUACCGGAUUGCCGUAAGGACGCCGCAUGGUGUUUUUACGAAAGGGGUUUACCGGUGUGCGAUGGGGAUGCGUCCCAUUAGCG
rnacentral:rRNA from 1 species